GGUUUAUUGUCUUCCAAGAAUCCAAAAACUCCUCCCAAGCCCUGCAGGAGCAAUGCACUGGAGGCUUGCUAAACAUGCAAUUCCUUUUCAAGGGUGGAAGCAAUGAAUGAAUGCACUGAGAGAUGUGGAGGUCAGUGAAGCAACUGUCCUCCUUUAACUGACUUUUUAAAAACUUAUUUUUCUUAAAAAAUUGGCAAUGCUUUGAGUGGAAAGGCUUUCAGGACUGCAUGGCCACAAAAGGAGUCCAGCUUUCCUUCCCAUGUGCUGAUGCUGAAGUCAUUGAGUAUUUUUGCAUUACAUUGGACCUUCUCUUUUGGAAAAUACAGGGCAAAGAAGCUGGAAUUACUAUUUUUCAGAACUGCCAGCUCAAUCUCUGAGACAUUCUCAUAGAAAAGGCUGAUGCUCCGAAAAAUUUGUGCAAAAUCUUUCCAAAACAAGCCAUUAUUUCUGCUUGCAGACAAAUAAUAUAAAUGUUUAUGGGCUCUCUAUGGAGCAAAUGAAGGAGCUUGGUUUAUACCCAUGAUGUCCUAACAAUUCUAUGUUAAUAUAUGCCAUGACAUUCCUUCUUUUUUUUUUUUUUUUUUCUUUUCCCUUUCUAUUUGCUCUUUAUUGCACCUCAGGUAUUUAUUUCAGGUGCCUGACAGGCUCUGAGAGGCACCUCUAGUUAUUUUAAACAAAUAAAUCAUGUCUUGUCUGCAGGAUCACCCCAGGGUGAGGAGCAAGCAAGGCACCAUUUCCCAAUGCUGGAGUGAUGGAUUCCUGCAGCCCUGGGGGACAGCACGGUCCCCAUGCCACCAGCCAGGGCAAAUGACCUGUCAGACCUGGUGCACUCACCUGCUGGGUAGGAGAGGAGGAGACUGGGAUGCUGGAGUUGGCUGGGAAGGAAAAAAUUGGGGUUGGAUACAUUUGCUCUGGGUUUUCCCUCUAGGUGGGAAGUUUUUUGCUAAAAUUUCCGAAGUUCUCCAAGUGAUUUGUUAAUCUGGGUCUUGUUUUUGUUGUUUCAUGGUCAUGAAAUGUGGAGUUCAGCUUGAAUCUGGGAGCCCAGCAAGGAUGGCACAGGAUACGCCCCAUUUCCCCACUUACAACCUCAUUUCUUUGUGAAUGUUUUCAAGUAAAAAUAGAAAAAUAAAUAGAUGUUGAAGAGAAUCCUAGAUACAAUCUCUAAUUAGAUUAGGACCCAGAGUUAUGGAAUAAUAAAUUAUCUAACUACCAUGGUACAGCUUCUCAGUGCUUUUAAGACUGAUUUCUGCCUAAGGCGCUGGGAAAGUGACUUCAACAAAACUUAAAGAGAUUAAACCUGAUUAUUAAGCGAAGUUAGUUUUUGUGAUGUCCCUUCCAGACACAUGAGCAAUGGUGUUGUAAUGAACAUGUUAAAAGCCAGAGAGCCCCUGUGCAGCUCUGGCAGCUGCAAGGAGCAGGGCUUAGUUCCUUUACCUGUGCCCAGAGCUGGAGUUAAUAAGUGAAAUGCUGACCUGGAGAUGUGACAGUGAGAUGAUUUUUUACUUUCAGUCCUUCUAAAUUAAAACACAUGCCCUGGUGUUUCGAGUCUGAGGACUCUAUUAAUUUCUGUCAUUGUGGUACAUUUGUAGCUCAGAAGUGAUUCCCAGCAUCAUCCAUCUCCAGCCUGCUGAUUUUAUCAAGCUGAGCCAUGCAGGGUCCAUUGCUAAAAAAGGACCUUUAUUUCCUCCCAGCCAUUUGCUGUGUGAAUCAGCAAUGCUUUUGUCUCAAACUGGUUGAUCACCCAGUGCUCCCAGUACCACACACAGGGACAGCCACAGCCCUUUCCCCAGGAACAGCAAACAUGAGAAAGUUUACCUUCACAUGAGGAUUCGUGUGACAGCUUUACCUGCCAGAGGAGAGCUUCUCCCAGAGAUGAAUUCACACAGCCAGCCACGUGUGCAUGAGGAGGUUAUCGAGGAAGAGGCAGCAUGGGUCAGAGCUGGACGUGUGUUGAUUUGCAUCCGCACUGCCCAGGAAGGGCACAGGGCACAGGAAACAGAAGCUGGCACGUGCUGGAGACACAAAAAUGUGAUGUGGCUGUGACUUACUGAGCAGAACCUCAGCUUUCCCUGCUGGGCAGGCAAGUAUUGCCUUCAGGGAGCACAGCCAGGUGGUCUUGCUCAUCAAGGAGAAAAACAGGAUGGUGCUGGGGCUGGUGGUCAUGAAUGGGGACACCUGAAUUCUCAUCUUGCCCCUGAAUGUGUUUACAGAGUGGCUGCACCCCCUGGGAUGGGGUCAGUCAGUCACGGGCACUGGAGACAGCCUGGGAGUGCAAAUUCCUGGGGUUUGUGGGCUUUUAGAAGGACUUUUAUGAAUUUAAAUGUAGGGAAAGCCCUGCAAAAUCAAGAAUCAGGAAAACAGUGUGCAGUAGCCAAGAAAAGGAUUUUUACUGGGAUUUCUUUCAUGGUCUGAGGGCACAACGGGGUAGUUGGAGGCCGUGGUGGGAGAGGAGAGUUGUUAUCAGAACCUGACUUCUCUCUAUUAGUGGUGAAUUUGAAAUUCAGACUCAAACUCAGGAGCAGGGGAAAGGGCUUGGACCUUAAUGCUGCCCAAUCUAGCAAUAGAAAUUGCUGCCACUGCCCCUGCUUGCCCUCCCCUCCAUUCUUGUGAUUUUAAAGUGUAAUCAGUCUCACUACUCAGGGAAGUCUGGCAUGUGUCUCCCCACCAACAACAGGGAUUCUGAUAAAAGAAGUCAACAAGGCUAAUGUUGUUUUCAGUCACCAAAUCUGACUUAAACCUGGCCUAGGAAAAAGAGAAUUCAUCUCUGAAUACAUUAGUUGAUGACUGACAGGAAAAUAUUGCAAGUGAUGUAGCUGGUGUACAUUUUCAUUCACCUGUACAUCUGGCUAAAUAUUGGAAAAACGUUUUUGCAAAUGUAUGGCAAUAAUUGGCAGAAAAGAAAGAAAUUAAUAUUAUGCAACCCACAGAUCGCUCCAUUAUGUGCCUACAGCAGCAAGGCCUUCCUAAAACAGGAUUGGAUUCAACAUUAAAUCCCCACCUUGGGCUUCCCAGGAGCUCUGAGGAAGGGAAGCGUGCUGAUGAGAGAACCAGGGUGGUGUCAGCUGUGUGCAGAGCAUCCUGUGCCCCACACAAGCACUGGCUGUGACCAACAGCCCUGACUCUGGGCAUGCAAGGGAAACCUGCCCUGGCAAACCCAACCCUUACAGGCUGCCAGCAAGGCUGGAGCAGGGGGAGAAGCCUGGCAGAAUCAAUGGGAGUGACAGCUCGAAAAGGUAAUUGAUAAUAUCGGCAGGGGGGAGAGCAAUGAAGGAGGAGGAGGAAUAAUCACUGGGGGAGUUCAGAAUGGAGGCAUUGGGUCUCCUGAGGGUGCCCAGUGCAUGGCCAGCCUCUGUGCUGCACCAGCUCCUUGCCAGACAGGCCCUGACUGAGUGUAACAUAGGCAAAAAAAAGAAAAAAAAUAUUCCAUAGACCAGUGGCCCAGUAGGAUUCAGAACAGACUCAGAGCCUUUAGGUCAGAUUUCCUUUGGCUCCAGACUGGAUUUGAUGUGCUGACUCAGUUUUCUGAACAGAUGAUGGCUCUCCCUGCCUUUGACCUGCCUGCUCCGUGUGCAUCUCCCCGGACUAUCUAAAGCCUGGAGAUUUCUGCAAGGGGCCCAACAGGAUCUGAGGCAGACAGGCCAGACUUUGUGCCCUGUCCUAUGGAGCAGGGCACAGACAAACUCUAAUUCCUGCUGGCUGGGUCCCUGCCUCACACGUGUUUAUUGCAGCUGUGGGACUCCUCUGAGCUGUGUCCCCUGGAUCUGAAAUGAAAGCAGAGUAAUUGGAUGCACCACCACAGUGGCCAAUGACAAAGAGCAUUUUUCUGCAAGCAUUUUUCCCCCGUUGCUGAGAGAUUACAUCUGAUGUUAUAAACCAGCAUCGCUCCCAGUUGGUACCACCACUAAUUUGCCCUUCUAGAAAAGUUUCUUGCUAUUGCAGCGUGCUCACUGCAGCCAUCUAGGUGAAAUGUUUUCUUUCAAGCUAAAAAGAGAAAAAAAAAAAAAAGGAAGACAGAACUUUUGUCUUGUGUUGUCCAGUAUUUGAAAACCCUUGGAGGAAAAUGAGAGAGACCAAUCCAGACCAAGAUGGGGAGAAAACUCGUCAUUUUUAAGAUAGGAGAGAAGCAAGAAGAGCAGGGUGUUGGUGGGGAACCGAGGGGUGCACACAGCCUGGGAGGAUGCUGAGUCUGUUCAGAAAAGGAACCUUGAGUUAUGCAGUGCAAAGUGGGAUUUGUGUAGGAAUUUCCCCUGACCACAGAUGGAGAUUUUGGAGGGAAAGAAACAAAAUUCAUCAGAAACAUCCCAGUGAGUAUGUGAAUCCACACUGGGGAUGCUUUAAGAGAGGGGAGGUGUCAUUUAACUACAUUUGGUUACCCUUAAUGUCACCUUCCUUUAUCCAAACAAAAAACUUUUCUAACCCUAACCCUGGACUUUUCUCCAUAGUCCAGGGUAACCAAUAGGCUGGCUGGCAGGAGGGUUUUGUUGUUUGUCGGGUUUUGUGAGCCUCUUUUCUGGAGAGAACAAGGGCUGUGGGAAUAUCAAAUGCCUGGAGCCCACCUGUCAGACUGCUCUCGUUAAAGUUUGAAGAAUUGGCCAAUUUCAAUGCAAUUUAACAGACAAGAACUUUAAAAGGUAGUAGGUUUCUGAAAAGCUCUGUAAAAAUAGCAGGUAAAAGAGGGAUUCUUCCAUGGGUUUAGUCGAGGGAAAACUACAGCAUGAACUUGCAUCUUGGGGAUGAAAAAUAUCUGCUCACGUGUUUUCCAUUGGAAAGUAGAACCUGGUAAUUCUCCUGGCUACACAGAACUUAUGUGUGUGAGCCUCUGUUUCCCAGGUAAGAGAAAGGAGGGGAGCUGCAGGGUUUGACUGAGGCCUUGGAGACCAUUGGAAGCAACAUAAAGUGGACAAUUGUAAGAAGAAGAAUCAGGAAGAAGAAGGAACAAGAUCAUGUUGAAGGAAAUAAAGGGAGCAACCAGUUCUAGGAGAAAAUUAACUACUCACAGUUCUGUAAUUCAAGGGCACUGUGGUACCUUUGUAGAAAGCUGGUGGGUAUCUCCAUCACUUUUUGUACAAGUGCAGAAGUAGAGACACAAGGGCAGGGGAAGUCUGUGGUCUCUGAGCCUCCUGGUUCACAUCUCAGCCUUCAUCAUGGGACAUUUUAUUUUCUUGUAGACAAGGAGUAGCCAGGGGGGAAGGAAAUGAAAAAGCUGUUUGUUGCUGCCAUUUGUAGUGGAAAACUCAAGUGGUAUUGUCUAUUUUUAUAAUAGGACUUUUAGAAAGUCUCCAGGAUUGAUUUAAAACUGUAGAAUUAGAGAAUCUCUGACAUCUACAAGUCAGUUGUUCUAAAGGUUAAUAAUUUCUAUUUAAAACAAUUUUGCUUC